AUUUCAUAACAGAGGCCUGGCUUCAGAUCGUUGAGUGCAGGCGUGUUUUGAAAUGGACAUAUGCUUAUGGAUAUUAUUUAGCAGAGCAUGAAUAUGCCAAGAGACAGUUCUUUGAGUACUUGCAAGGUGAGGCAGAGUCUGGGUUGGAAAGGCUUCAUCAAUGUGCAGAAAAAGGAGCUACAUGUUUACCUUAAUGCAGAGGGCCAAUCAAAAGACUUCAAUGAGUUUCGCACAAAACUUGCUGGACUGACCAG